rnacentral:rRNA from 1 species
UACGUAGAGUGCAAGCGUUGUCCGGAAUUAUUGGGCGUAAAGGGUACGUAGGCGGAUAGUAAAGUCAAGCGUGAAAGGUGUCGGCUUAACCGACAGACUGCGUUUGAAACUGAUUAGUCUUGAGUGUAACAGAGGACGAGUGGAAUUCCGUAGUGUAGUGGUGGAAAAUACGUAGAUAUUAGGAAGAACACCAGUGGCGAAGGCGACUCUCUGGGUUAGCACUGACGCUGAGGUACGAAAGCUGGGGGAGCGAACGGGAUUAGAUACCCCCGUAGU